AAAAAAAAAGGGGUAGGGAAAAAAAGGAAAUCACAGCCAUACGAGCUACGCUCCCCCAGCUGAACUGUAUCUGCGUUUUAACAGUGAGAGAAAAGACAUUAUAUGGCAUCGCGCUCCUCCUGCAACCCGGCCAGCCUCAUCUGUCAGCCAUUACUUAAUCAUGGCCGAUAACACAGAGCACAGAGAGCUGGCACAGCGCGUGGGACCAAAAGACAGUUUCACCUCUGAGAGCAAGAGGAGGGCAAGGACUCAGGGACCUCUGAUUCAGCGAUCUACAGCUGGGUUGCUUCACUCACCAGCACCCACUCAGGACUGGCAGGCAGAAACCUCGAGAUGACCCAACCUACUCCUUUAAUCUAAACAGAUGCAGUUGACUUUAUAAUGUGGAAAUAGUUUCUGUCUGUCCAGUUUUUGACAGACGUUUUGACGCAAGAUCCACAUUGAACUUCCGAACGGCUAAAACUAAACAGCACAUUCUGACUAAACGCCUCUCCAACACUGUACCUCAUUUUAGCCAAGUCCAAGGAUGGUAUCAAUUCUCAGCAAAGGAAAAAUUUUCCACCGGAGGAAAAAUACAGUAGGAAUCAAGACAGAAAGUAAAUAACAACAAUGAAGGAGAACAGACAAUAGUCAGGUCUCGGAGUUCCUCCGUCAAUCCAAAUGCAUCAUGCAGGGGUCAUGUGGUGAGGUGGAAUUAACAUCCUUUAUAACUUAAAAAAAGAAACAGACCUACAAGGUGGUGAUAUAGCAUUUACAGUACAGUCUGAUCAAAAACAUAUAUUUAGGUUUUUAUUUUAGCUAAAAGCUGAAGCAAAACGCUAUAUGCUCUCUGAAACUGAGCUAGAACACAGUAUCUAUCAUUAUCGCUCCCACAAGAGGGGAAACAGCUCCAUUUCAUUUCAUCACUUGAUAGCAUCGACAUGCCCAAACAUGAACAGGCCCCAUUAAGUCUGUGGUGGUAGCCUCAUGUGAGAGGACUUUUCAUGUAAGUGGAGUCUAUGAAGUAACUCCUGUGGUUUUAAAAACACUUCACAGUGCUUCGCUUAAAGGAAUGAGAAAAAGCAGAUGUUCUGUACCUGUGUGAAAACACGAUCAUGUUCUCUGCCAUUCAGCCAGCCCGGAGAAGACCAAAUUAAAUGCUUCCAGAGACCUUCAAUCCCUGUCUCCUCUCUGUUCAUCUCACUGCAUCAGCUCCCAAGCUGGAUCACCCACAACAGCUACGCUCACUAAAUGGACUCUUUAUUUUCUUUCAGUAGCUUUCACACACUCACUGUGCUUCAGCAGGAGGAGACUUCUCCUAACUACUCAUUAAACUAAACUAGAUCAUGACGAUACUUGUGCAAGAUAUCUUCUGAUAUCAUCUCACAGCAUCAGUGCCACCUAAACCUUAGCGGUUUGGCAAAAUGUGUAAGCCCCAGUGAUUGAUCCUUUAUGUUAAAGUCUUUUCUCAGAUACCAAUUUAGCACACACAGCAAUGAUUGUUCUAGUGACCAGCACCAGGGAGAACUUUUCAGCCGCUGCUCCAACAACCUAAACUCAACUAGCACACAGGCAGCAUAAGGAAUCACAAAGCUGAUGAUGUCACAAACAACUGACCCCAAAGUGACAGGUUUGGAAGAGGUUUCCCCCCUGUUGCCCUCAAACUGGAGUCAAGUAUGUCAAUGCUCUACAUGUGGAUUUCAUUUGAAGCAGCAUGAUUAGCGUGCAGACGCUUUACUGUGAUCCCCCCUCCAUGGGAAACCCACACUCGACGGGAAAUGGUAUGUUUUUGUUAACAACAAACAGGCAUAAAUCACAUAAGUGGUGCAACACAGUCGUAUCGCUGGUCUUUACACCCAGCUGACAUCAAGAUUGCUUUUAAGGUAAUUACCAUUAGCUAAUGGAUAUUUAUGUUCCUAAAAGUUUAUGUUGAACUGUGUGCCUGAAAUCCGGAACCUGUGCAAUAAAUGUGGUAAUUGUU